UCAAUCGACGUCAAAAAUGUGCUUCGCGGCCCGGAAGACAUCUCAUUUCGGGAUUCUGACAGGGAUUCUACAUAUGAUCAAAUCACGGCAGCCUCUUUUCGUGGCUCAAUCAAAUGGCCAUAGGAACGGUGAUCAGUCUUGGACACCAAAGUCUACGCACGCAGCAAAACCCAGUCACCGGUUCAAGGUCAUAUGUACAGAUUAGAUUAGGUUG